rnacentral:rRNA from 1 species
AGUGAACGCUGGCGGUAGGCCUAACACAUGCAAGUCGAACGGCAGCACAGUAAGAUCUUGCUCUUACGGGUGGCGAGUGGCGGACGGGUGAGGAAUACAUCGGAAUCUACUUUUUCGUGGGGGAUAACGUAGGGAAACUUACGCUAAUACCGCAUACGACCUACGGGUUAAAGCAGUGGAUCUUCGGACCUUGGGCGAUUCAUUUAGCCGAUGUCGGAUUAGCUAGUUGGGGGGGUAAAGGCCCACCAAGGCGACGAUCCGUAGCUGGUCUGAGAGGAUGAUCAGCCACACUGGAACUGAGACACGGUCCAGACUCCUACGGGAGGCAGCAGUGGGGAAUAUUGGACAAUGGGCGAAAGCCUGAUCCAGCCAUACCGCGUGGGUGAAGAAGGCCUUCGGGUUGUAAAGCCCUUUUGUUGGGAAAGAAAAGCAGCAGGUUAAUACACCGCUGUUUUGACGGUACCCAAAGAAUAAGCACCGGCUAACUUCGUG